rnacentral:rRNA from 1 species
CAAUAGCGUAUAUUAAUGUUGUUGCAGUUAAAAAGCUCGUAGUUGGAUAUCUGGCCUUUGCGUUGACGACCCGCCCUUUUUGGGAUGAGUGUUGGAGACGUGGGUCUAUUUUCCGGUUGGUGUCUAUUCCACUUUAUUGGGGCGUAGUUCACGAUCCGGAUCGUUUACUUUGAAAAAUUCGAGUGUUCAUAGCAGGCUUACGCCGUGAAGAUCGCAGCAUGGAAUAAUAACAUAGGACUUGGUGUUCUAUUUUGUUGGUUCUGGGACCUAAGUAAUGAUUGAUAGGGACAGUUGGGGGUGCUGCUAUAGACUGGCCAGAGGUGAAAUUCUAAGACUCAGUCUAGAGCAACUUAUGCGAAAGCAUUCACCAAGGAUGUCUUCUUUAAUCAAGAACGAAAGUUGGGGGAUCGAAGACGAUUAGAUACCAU